AUUGAACGCUGGCGGCAUGCUUUACACAUGCAAGUCGAACGGUAACAGGUUAAGCUGACGAGUGGCGAACGGGUGAGUAAUGCAUCGGAACGUGCCCGGUCGUGGGGGAUAACGCAGCGAAAGCUGCGCUAAUACCGCAUACGAUCUGAGGAUGAAAGCGGGGGACCGUAAGGCCUCGUGCGAUCGGAGCGGCCGAUGUCAGAUUAGGUAGUUGGUGGGGUAAAGGCUCACCAAGCCAACGAUCUGUAGCUGGUCUGAGAGGACGACCAGCCACACUGGGACUGAGACACGGCCCAGACUCCUACGGGAGGCAGCAGUGGGGAAUUUUGGACAAUGGGGGCAGCCCUGAUCCAGCCAUGCCGCGUGCGGGAAGAAGGCCUUCGGGUUGUAAACCGCUUUUGUCGGGGAAGAAACGGUCUGCGCUAAUACCGCGGACUAAUGACGGUACCCGAAGAAUAAGCACCGGCUAACUACGUGCCAGCCGCCGCCGUAA
rnacentral:rRNA from 1 species